UUCCCAUCCCGAACACGGAAGUCAAGCUCUCUAACGCCGAUGAUACUGCUCUUGAGUGGGAAAGUAGGUAGCUGCCAGGC
rnacentral:rRNA from 1 species